AACGAACGCUGGCGGCAUGCCUAACACAUGCAAGUCGAACGAGACCUUCGGGUCUAGUGGCGCACGGGUGCGUAACGCGUGGGAACCUGCCCUUAGGUUCGGAAUAACUCCCCGAAAGGGGUGCUAAUACCGGAUAAUGUCUUCGGACCAAAGAUUUGUCGCCUUUGGAUGGGCCCGCGUUGGAUUAGCUAGUUGGUAGGGUAAAAGCCUACCAAGGCGACGAUCCAUAGCUGGUCUGAGAGGAUGAUCAGCCACACUGGGACUGAGACACGGCCCAGACUCCUACGGGAGGCAGCAGUGGGGAAUAUUGGACAAUGGGCGAAAGCCUGAUCCAGCAAUGCCGCGUGAGUGAUGAAGGCCUUAGGGCUGUAAAGCUCUUUUACCCGGGAUGAUAAUGACAGUACCGGGAGAAUAAGCUCCGGCUAACUCCGUG
rnacentral:rRNA from 1 species